UACGGAGGGUGCAAGCGUUAUCCGGAUUUACUGGGUUUAAAGAGUGCGCAGGCGGAUAUGUAAGUCAGUGGCGAAAUCUCUAGGCUUAACCUGGAAAUUGCCGUUGAUACUAUAUAUCUUGAAUGUUGUGGAGGUAAGCAGAAUAUGUCAUGUAGCGGUGAAAUGCUUAGAUAUGACAUAGAAUACCUAUUGCGAAGGCAGCUUACUACGCAGAUAUUGACGCUCAUGCACGAAAGCGUGGGGAUCAAACAGG
rnacentral:rRNA from 1 species